UACGGGGGGGCGAGCGUUGUUCGGAAUCAUUGGGCGUAAGGGUGCGUAGGUGGCAUGGUAAGUCGGGUGAUGAAAUCCCGGGGCUCAACUGGGGAGGUCACUCGAUACUGAUCGACUACGAAGGCAGAAGGAGGGAAGCGGAAUCCCCGGUGAUAGUGGUGAAAUGCGAUAGAUAUCGGGAGGAACACCAGUGGCGAAGGCGGCUUCUGGUCUGCUCUUCGGACCG
rnacentral:rRNA from 1 species